AUUGAACGCUGGUGGCAGGCCUAACACAUGCAAGUCGAACGAGUGGCGGACGGGUGUGUACUGUCUGGGAAACUGCCCGAUGGAGGGGGAUAACUACUGGAAACGGUAGCUAAUACCGCAUACCAUCGGAUGUGCCCAGAUGGGCUUAGCUAGUAGGUGGGGUAAAGGCUCACCUAGGCGACGAUCCCUAGCUGGUCGGAGAGGAUGACCGACCACACUGUAACUGAGACACGGGCCAGACUCCAACGGGAGGCAGCAGUGGGGAAUAGUGCACAAUGGGGGCAAGCCAGAUGCAGCCAUGCCGCGUGUAUGAAGAAGGCCUUCGGGUUGUAAAGUACUUUCAGCGGGGAGGCGUUACUCGCAGAAGAAGCACCGGCUAACUCCGUGCCAGCAGCCGCGGUAAUAC
rnacentral:rRNA from 1 species